UACGUAGGGUGCAGGCGUUAAUCGGAAUUACUGGGCGUAAAGCGUGCGCAGGCGGUUUCUUAAGUCAGAUGUGAAAUCCCCGGGCUUAACCUAGGAACUGCGUUUGAAACUGGAAGGCUAGAGUGUGGCAGAGGCAAGUGGAAUUUGUAGUGUAGCAGUGAAAUGCGUAGAUAUUACAAGGAACACCAAUGGCGAAGGCAGCUUGCUGGGCCUUUUCUGACGCUGAGGUACGAAAGCGUGGGGAGCGAACAGG
rnacentral:rRNA from 1 species